GAUGAACGCUGGCGGCGUGCCUAAUACAUGCAAGUCGAGCGAACAGACGAGGAGCUUGCUCCUCUGACGUUAGCGGCGGACGGGUGAGUAACACGUGGAUAACCUACCUAUAAGACUGGGAUAACUUCGGGAAACCGGAGCUAAUACCGGAUAAUAUAUUGAACCGCAUGGUUCAAUAGUGAAAGACGGUUUUGCUGUCACUUAUAGAUGGAUCCGCGCCGCAUUAGCUAGUUGGUAAGGUAACGGCUUACCAAGGCGACGAUGCGUAGCCGACCUGAGAGGGGGAUCGGCCACACGGGACCUGAGACACGGCCCAGACUCCUACGGGAGGCAGCAGUAGGGAAUCUCCCGCAAUGGGCGAAAGCCUGACGGAGCAACGCCGCGUGAGUGAUGAAGGUCUUCGGAUCGUAAAACUCUGUUAUUAGGGAAGAACAAAUGUGUAAGUAACUAUGCACGUCUUGACGGGACCUAAUCAGAAAGCCACGGCUAACUACGU
rnacentral:rRNA from 1 species